rnacentral:rRNA from 1 species
UCGAACGCCUCUUUUUCCACCGGAGCUUGCUCCAUCGGAAAAAGAGGAGUGGCGAACGGGUGAGUAACACGUGGGUAACCUGCCCAUCAGAAGGGGAUAACACUUGGAAACAGGUGCUAAUACCGUAUAACAAUCGAAACCGCAUGGUUUCGAUUUGAAAGGCGCUUUCGGGUGUCGCUGAUGGAUGGACCCGCGGUGCAUUAGCUAGUUGGUGAGGUAACGGCUCACCAAGGCGACGAUGCAUAGCCGACCUGAGAGGGUGAUCGGCCACAUUGGGACUGAGACACGGCCCAAACUCCUACGGGAGGCAGCAGUAGGGAAUCUUCGGCAAUGGACGAAAGUCUGACCGAGCAACGCCGCGUGAGUGAAGAAGGUUUUCGGAUCGUAAAACUCUGUUGUUAGAGAAGAACAAGGAUGAGAGUAACUGUUCAUCCCUUGACGGUAUCUAACCAGAAAGCCACGGCUAACUACGUGCCA